CCUACGGGUGGCAGCAGUGGGGAAUAUUGGACAAUGGGCGAAAGCCUGAUCCAGCCAUGCCGCGUGUGUGAAGAAGGCCUUCGGGUUGUAAAGCACUUUCAGUGGGGAAGAAAGCCUUGGGGCUAAUACCCUCGAGGAAGGACAUCACCCACAGAAGAAGCACCGGCUAACUCCGUGCCAGCAGCCGCGGUAAUACGGAGGGUGCGAGCGUUAAUCGGAAUUGCUGGGCGUAAAGCGCGCGUAGGCGGUCUGAUAAGCCGGUUGUGAAAGCCCCGGGCUCAACCUGGGAACGGCAUCCGGAACUGUCAGGCUAGAGUGCAGGAGAGGAAGGUAGAAUUCCCGGUGUAGCGGUGAAAUGCGUAGAGAUCGGGAGGAAUACCAGUGGCGAAGGCGGCCUUCUGGACUGACACUGACGCUGAGGUGCGAAAGCGUGGGUAGCAAACAGGAUUAGAUACCCUUGUAGUC
rnacentral:rRNA from 1 species